GAUGAAGAACGUAGCGAAAUGCGAUAAGUAAUGUGAAUUGCAGAAUUCAGUGAAUCAUCGAAUCUUUGAACGCACAUUGCGCCCCCUGGUAUUCCGGGGGGCAUGCCUGUCCGAGCGUCAUUACAACCCUCAAGCUCAGCUUGGUGUUGGGCCCCGCCGCCCCGGCGGGCCCUAAAGUCAGUGGCGGUGCCGUCCGGCUCCGAGCGUAGUAAUUCUUCUCGCUCUGGAGGUCCGGUCGUGUGCUCGCCAGCAACCCCCAAUUUUUUUCAGGUUGACCUCGGAUCAGGAAGGGAUACCCGCUGAACUUAAGCAUAUCAAUAAGCGGAGGA
rnacentral:misc_RNA from 1 species